rnacentral:miRNA from 1 species
UGGAAUGUAAAGAAGUACGGCG